AUAAAAUAAGAAUUAAAAAAAUGAAACCGCGAUCUGCCAUCUUCAUCUCUCUCCCUCCUCUGGAAAUCAAAACUCCGAGCGUAUGAAGUAUCACCAUCUUCCCCAUCCCAUUCAUUUCCAAUUUCUCUCCCUCUAUGCAAAUCGAAAAUUUUAUAUUCUGAAAAAUCCCGAUUCCUCAAUUGCCCAUUUCCAAGUUCUCCCCUGUUUACCAUUUUCACCCAUUCUUGCACUCAACUCGACACAGAAUCUGUUGCCAGAGCAGCACGCCACAUCUCUCUCUUUUCUUCCUCUCUAUAAAUGGAACCCCAGAUCCUUCCUGUGUCUCUGGCAUCAUCGUCGUCUUCAUCAUCACUGCUACCACCAUCUCCGACUAUAACGGCCAUUUCUGCCUCUGCGGGCACAAUGUUACUGCAAGGACAGAACGAUCAAAUCCCCCGUCUUCUCCUUUCGUCAUCUUUGGAAGAUGAUAUGAGCAUGGACAUUAAACCCUUUCUCUCCCGGAGUUCGAGCUACUCCAGCGACGGCAGCACCACGGCCGCCGUUGGCAACAACAAUCAGCAACGCCGCCGUAGGGUUGCCAGUGAAACAUCGCUUCCUUCUGCCUCCGGUGGCCGUCGCCAGUCGUUCCAGCGCGAUGUUCGGCACGCUGCUUCUGAGACCUUUUUGCUGACUCGACUUAGCUUCAAGCUGUUGCGGUAUCUUGGGGUAGGCUACAGAUGGAUCAUGAGAUUUCUUGCCCUUGGUUGUUAUGCACUACUACUUAUGCCGGGUUUUCUUCAAGUUGGAUAUUACUAUUACUUCUCAAGUCAGGUCCGAAGAGGCAUAGUUUAUGGUGAUCAACCAAGAAAUAGGCUUGAUCUGUAUUUACCUAAAAAUAAUGAUGGGCCAAAGCCAGUUGUUGCAUUUGUAACUGGUGGAGCCUGGAUUAUUGGUUAUAAAGCAUGGGGUUCUCUAUUAGGGCAACAGUUAUCAGAAAGCGACAUCAUAGUAGCAUGCAUAGAUUACAGAAAUUUCCCUCAGGGGACCAUCAGUGAUAUGGUAAAGGAUGCUUCUCAAGGAAUCUCAUUUGUUUGCAAGAAUAUAGCUGAGUAUGGAGGUGAUCCUAAUAGGGUUUAUUUAAUGGGACAGUCUGCUGGUGCACAUAUUGCUGCUUGCACUCUCUUGGAGCAGGCACUUAAAGAGGCUGGUGAGGGAGAAAGUACUUCUUGGAGUGUCUCCCAGAUAAAAGCAUAUUUCGGUUUAUCUGGAGGGUACAAUUUGUUUGAGCUAGUUGAUCACUUCCAUAGUCGAGGACUGUACCGUUCCAUCUUUUUGAGCAUAAUGGAGGGUGAACAGUCUUUGAGGCGUUUUUCACCUGAAGUAAUGGUACAGGACCCAAGCAUUAGAACUGCCGUUUCUCUUCUGCCCCCUAUUAUCCUUUUUCAUGGCAGUGCAGAUUAUUCCAUUCCAUCAGAUGCCAGUAAAAAUUUUGCAGAUACUCUUCAAAGAGUUGGAGUUGAGGCUCAAUCAAUUUUAUAUGAGGGAAAAACUCAUACAGAUUUGUUUCUUCAGGAUCCAAUGAGGGGUGGUAGAGAUGAGAUGUUUGAAGAUUUAGUUGCCACUAUUCAUGCUGGUGAGGUGCAAGCUCUGGCUAAAGAUGUGGUAGCACCUCCUAGAAGACGCCUUGUACCAGAAUUAAUGCUGAAGUUGGCUCGUAGUGUCAGCCCAUUUUAGUUAUUUUGAGAGAAGUGUAGGAAGGCCAUUGGACCCAAACAAGCCUCUGGGUAAGACGGGCAUUGGCUUAACAUCGCUACCAAGGCCUUAAAAUUCAAAGCGGCUUGCAGGAUUGAGUGCAUGGGCCUCCACAGGUUUCACCACUUGAAAUUACACAACUCAUAUGGCAAUAGGAGCCCAUGAUAGGAGAGCGGGUAAAGCACCGUUGAUCUAGUACUGUUGAUCCGCCUUUCCAGAAGUGAGCCUCUGAUAGGAGAGCGGGUGAAGCACCGCUGAUCUAGUACUGUUGAUCCGCCCUUCCAGAAGGGUAAGUGCUUUGAUAGGGUCAGAUGUAUUUUGUGGAUGGCCCUAAGAUAUCUUUUGGGUUGUGUAUUAUGUGUAUAUAAAUACAGUGGUUGUAGUAACUCUGGUAUUGUGAUGUAUGAUAUAAUGAGAUGUAUAUGAUU